GUGGGGAAUAUUGGACAAUGGGCGAAAGCCUGAUCCAGCCAUGCCGCGUGUGUGAAGAAGGUCUUCGGAUUGUAAAGCACUUUAAGUUGGGAGGAAGGGUAGUAACCUAAUACGUUGCUACUUUGACGUUACCGACAGAAUAAGCACCGGCUAACUUCGUGCCAGCAGCCGCGGUAAUACGAAGGGUGCAAGCGUUAAUCGGAAUUACUGGGCGUAAAGCGCGCGUAGGUGGUUCAGUAAGUUGGAAGUGAAAUCCCCGGGCUCAACCUGGGAACUGCUUUCAAAACUGCUGAGCUAGAGUACGGUAGAGGGUGGUGGAAUUUCCUGUGUAGCGGUGAAAUGCGUAGAUAUAGGAAGGAACACCAGUGGCGAAGGCGACCACCUGGACUGAUACUGACACUGAGGCGCGAAAGCGUGGGGAGCAAACAGGAUUAGAAACCCCUGUAGUCC
rnacentral:rRNA from 1 species